rnacentral:rRNA from 1 species
CCUACGGGAGGCAGCAGUGGGGGAUAUUGCACAAUGGGGGGAACCCUGAUGCAGCGACGCCGCGUGGGUGAAGGAGUGCUUCGGCAUGUAAAGCCCUAUCGGCAGGGAAGAAGCAAGACGGUACCUGACUAAGAAGCCCCGGCUAACUACGUGCCAGCAGCCGCGGUAAUACGUAGGGGGCGAGCGUUAUCCGGAUUCACUGGGGGUAACGGGAGCGUAGACGGCCAAGCAAGCCAGGGGUGAAAGCCCGGGGCCCAACCCCGGGACUGCCCUUGGAACUGCAUGGCUGGAGUGCGGGAGGGGCAGGCGGAAUUCCUGGUGUAGCGGUGAAAUGCGUAGAGAUCAGGAGGAACACCGGCGGCGAAGGCGGCCGGCUGGACCGCGACUGACGUUGAGGCUCGAAAGCGUGGGGAGCGAACAGGAUUAGAUACCCCUGUAGUC